rfam:Salmo salar isolate Sally breed double haploid chromosome ssa02, whole genome shotgun sequence.
UUCACUCACUACUGUAAGUCACUCUGGAUAAGAGCGUCUGCUAAAUGACUCAAA